rnacentral:rRNA from 1 species
UACGGAGGGGGCUAGCGUUGUCCGAAGUUACUGGGCGUAAAGCGCGCGUAGGCGGGUUGGUAAGUCCGCUGUGAAAGCCCGGAGCUCAACUCCGGAGGGUCGGUGGAUACUGCCAGUCUUGAAGGUGCUAGGGGGAGAUGGAAUUACCGGUGUAGCGGUGAAAUGCGUAGAUAUCGGUAGGAACACCAGUGGCGAAGGCGGUCUCCUGGGGCAUUCUUGACGCUGAGGCGCGAAAGCUGGGGAG